AGUCGGUACGCGUUGUGAUAAGAACGAGGAACGCGGCCCUUCGCUCGCUGAUUUGACAGUUCUUGGAAUUAAAGGUUCGGUUCGACGCGAAAUUACGCGCAUUUCGUCGCGUCAUUUGAUAACCGCUUAACGAGAAAAUAAGAGGCUGCUCGUGUUUUCGUCGAAAGAGAAGCGUCGUUUCGUGUUGCGUGGCGUGGCGUCGGGCACAGUGCAGUUUUCUUCGCGUCGAUUAAUUUCCGCUAGCUUGGACACUGCCACUUUAUUACUCCUCUCGCCAGCCAGGGAACAGGGCUCGAGUAACUCUUCCGUGCUUGGGAUUUCUCCAGCUCGUUUUGCACCUACACACGUUCAACAGGAGGACAGCUUGCCCAGCCACGAGGUACCCAUUAUUGCCCGCUCGACGACGCCCGCGCGACCACGCGCGAUUUAUCGCCACGUGUGUUUUAUUGGUUUCCCCUGCUACCAUCGACGUUCACUGGGUUUCCGGCAACCGUGGUUAAACGCCUGAAGGCUCGAAAC
rnacentral:misc_RNA from 1 species